GCACAAGAGGGGCAGCCACAGAAAAGCAAUGCAGCAUUUAUCACUCUCUGGCGAAACUCCGCCGCCCCUCUGCGCCUCUGGUGACGCUAACGUUCUUUCUUUGAGCCCCCAGCCCCCGUGCGAUAAGCCACGCCGGGAGUGUGCCGAGCCCACGUUUACUACCGCUGGCACCUCCAAAGCCUCCCUCCUUAAUCCUCUCUCAAACGGGUACCAGCACAGGGCCAGCAACGUGAUCCGACCUGCCGCUGCUGCCACAUCACUGCGCGGGGAAACCGUGCGCGCGCGCGCGCUGGCCCAGCAGCCGCGGGAGCACAGGCUAGCACGAGCGGGGCUACCUUUCUGCAGAGCCACACCAGGAGCAUGACUCACUCACUGCUAGUGAGAGUUACCCGGAGGUGCCCCGGGAUGAGCACUGCCCACGCCGCCCUAAGCGGCAGGAGACAGGGUCCUGGGAGGCUAGGGGAAAGUGUCUUGCGGGACCCCCAUGUCUCCUGUCCCUUUCUGCCGCAACUUGGUCUGCGAGGGGUGAGAUGGAGGAAAUAUAUAUUAAUCUCCUGAACAAACAGAAAUUAAAGCCAAGCUUUUUUUCUUGCACUUAGAGUAAUAAUUGCAUUCUCCUCUGGUGAUUUCCGAAACAUUCAUUAUUGUCAGUGGCACGUGAACCAAGGGUAGCAGAACACCAAAUGUACACGCACUGGAGCGCAGCAGGGAUAGGGGCCGUCGCUACGUGUCCUCCCGGCAGCUACCCCCACCCCCAGCCUCAGGCCCGGCGGGCGCGGGUUCCGGGGACGGAUCUGGGUCGCUGGAAGCGGCGGCUGGAAGGAGGUCACGUGGCUGCCAGAGUCGCGUCUCUUCCCCGCCUCCAAGAGCCGCCGGGCCACGGCCUCCACCGCUAGAGCUGCUGCAGUCUCCCGAGUCCUGCACAGAGACGCGCAGCGCGUCUGGCUUCGUGACUUGGGCGGCGGCGGCGGCGACCCGGGCUCACCCUGGCGAGAUGAACCGAUUCAAUUCCUAGACUCCUUUCAAGGACCCUGAAGGUCUCUCGACUUCCUCAAAUAGGGGAUAUAAUUUUGCACCAAAUAGGCAAUUUAAUAAAGAUAAUACUUAAAAGGUAUUUUUCAAUGCUGUU
rnacentral:lncRNA from 1 species